UACGUAGGGUGCAGGCGUUAAUCGGAAUUACUGGGCGUAAAGCGUGCGCAGGCGGUUUGCUAAGACAGGUGUGAAAUCCCCGGGCUUAACCUGGGAACUGCGCUUGUUACUGGCAAGCUAGAGUGUGGCAGAGGGGGGUGGAAUUCCAGGUGUAGCAGUGAAAUGCGUAGAGAUCUGGAGGAACACCGAUGGCGAAGGCAGCCCCCUGGGCUAACACUGACGCUCAUGCACGAAAGCGUGGGGAGCAAACAGG
rnacentral:rRNA from 1 species